GGUUAUUCACGCAUUUAUUAUAUAGUCAUUAUAGUAUUAAAUUUGUAGUAAUAUAUAUGGCGUGCUUGUAUAGUCGAAUAUAACCUAGUCUCCGAAAUUACUCUUUCAAUUCAGUAUGCGAUAUAGAUUGCCGUAAUAAUAUUUGGUGGUUGUAAUUGCAAUUUAUUACUAUUACGAGUUGAAAAUAACGUGUAGGGAAUAUCUUUACUUAAGGAUAAAGAAGAGGAUGUAUUGCUCGUACAGUCAUAUUUCAAGUUAAAACUAAUGCGAAUCGUAGUGCAUCUCACAAUCGGCGAGAAAGAUAAGCUUAUUGCUUUAAAGAAUGAACUGGAAACGAAAAGAGAACUCAACAAAGAAAUCUCUUCUGCCAAGUACGCUUCAUCGGCCAAAUCUUCCAAAAGACCUCGUACUUCAAUAAACACAGGACAUAAAAAAACAGAUCUCUCUACGAAGGUACAGAGAAAAGAACUACGUUUCAAUCGCGCAAACGAUAGAUAUGCAC